rnacentral:rRNA from 1 species
CCGGUUUAAACUCAGAUCAUGUAAAAUAUUAAAGGUCGAACAGACCUAAAUUUUUAGCUUCUACACCAAAACUUAAUUUUAAUCCAACAUCGAGGUCGCAAACUUCUUUUUCGAUUUGAACUCUUUAAAGAAAUUACGCUGUUAUCCCUAAGGUAAUUUAAUCUUAUAAUCAUAAAUAAUGGAUCAUAAAAUCAUAUAUUAAUGUUUUAAUAAAAAAAAAGUUUAUUAAAUUUUUCUAUCACCCCAAUAAAAUAAAUUUAAUUAUAAAAAAUUAUAAAAUUCUAAAAAUUUUAAAUAAUUAAAUUUAUAAAACUCUAUAGGGUCUUCUCGUCUUUUAAAAUUAUUUAAGCUUUUUAACUUAAAAAUAAAAUUCUAAUAAAUUUAAUUUGAGACAGUAUUUUUCUCGUUCAACCAUUCAUUCCAGCUUUCAAUUAAAAAACUAAUUAUUAUGCUACCUUCGCACGGUCAAAGUACCGCGGCCAUUUAAAAUUCAGUGGGCAGGUCAGACUUUAAAUUAAAAUCAAAAAGACAUGUUUUUAAUAAACAGGCG